GACGAACGCUGGCGGCGUGCUUAACACAUGCAAGUCGAACGGAAAGGCCCUGCUUUUGUGGGGUGCUCGAGUGGCGAACGGGUGAGUAACACGUGAGUAACCUGCCCUUGACUUUGGGAUAACUUCAGGAAACUGGGGCUAAUACCGGAUAGGAGCUCCUGCUGCAUGGUGGGGGUUGGAAAGUUUCGGCGGUUGGGGAUGGACUCGCGGCUUAUCAGCUUGUUGGUGGGGUAGUGGCUUACCAAGGCUUUGACGGGUAGCCGGCCUGAGAGGGUGACCGGCCACAUUGGGACUGAGAUACGGCCCAGACUCCUACGGGAGGCAGCAGUGGGGAAUAUUGCACAAUGGGCGGACGCCUGAUGCAGCAACGCCGCGUGCGUGAUGACGGCCUUCGGGUUGUAAACCGCUUUCGCCUGUGACGAAGCGUGAGUGACGGUAAUGGGUAAAGAAGCACCGGCUAACUACGUG
rnacentral:rRNA from 1 species